GCCUCCCAGGGUGCAGCCCCCAGCUGGCAGAGAGAUAAUGUGGCUGCUCAGGUCAAGCAUCUUACACUGAGUUAGGUUGCAACAUCUUCAUACAUCACCCAUGGCUAUGGUGACAGGCCAAUGAACUCACUGUUCCUCAAGACAACCACUCCUCCAUCCCCCUGCUUGCUGCCCUGCUUCAUCCCAGAGCCUUUAUAAGUGGGAGGACAACUCAUCUUCUGCCUCGAACAUCACCUUCUUGUACACCUUGGAAUACCUGCACAGAGCAUCCCACUACCAGCUGGGCAAGCAUGAGAAUCCUUUUCUUCCUCGUCACUGUUCUCAUCUUCCUCUUCCAGGCUGCUUCUCCAGGACACCCAGUUCCUAAAACUGACACCUCCCUGACCACACAAACAAGAUCUAUGAGCAUCUGAAACAUCUCCCAUCUUUUGACAUCAAUGGAUUCCAGGCUGGGUGCAAGCCUGGGGUUGCUUUCCAUAGGGGUGAAGACCAUUAGAAGCACAUAAAGAUCUGAGGAGGACUUCUUGUUCCCCAAAAAAGACAUUUGCAAUCCUAAUAAAAGCAUCUCAUUGUGUAAACCACGUUGCUGACAUUUGCUUAUUCAUGCUGAGGCACUUUUUGUUGCUGUUCUUCACUGUCUAUGAAAAUCAAGCUGUAAAUGAAGUUUAUUUAACUAAACUAAGUUGAUUUAA